CGACCUCAGAUCAGGCGGGACUACCCGCCGGAUUUAAGCAUAUUAAUAAGCGGAGGAAAAGAAAACAACCGUGAUUCCCUUAGUAGCGGCGAGCGAACCGGGAAAAGCCCAUCGCCGAAUCUCGCCGCGCACUUUUGUGUCGCGGCACGUAUGAGAGUUGUGGCGUACGGGCCGGCCUCGUUGCCGGGGCGCACGUGACGGUCCAAGUCUCCCUUGAACGGGGCCAUGGCCCGCAGAUGGUGCCAGGCCAGUAGAGGCCGUCACAGCGUUCCGGGAUCGGACCGCGCCUUCGAGUCGGGUUGCUUGAGAGUGCAGCCCGAAGCGGGUGGUAAACUCCAUCUAAGGCUAAAUACGGCCACGAGACCGAUAGUUUACAAGUACCGUGAGGGAAAGUUGAAAAGAACUUUGAAGAGAGAGUUCAUAAGAACGUGAAACCGCUCGGUUGUAAACGGACAGAGCUCGCGAAUCCCCGCCGGGCGAAUUCACGGUCGGUCUAACCGCCGGCCGGAUCUUUCGCUCGGUUAGCGGACGUCGCGACCCGUUGGGCGCCGGCCGAAUGGCCCGGGUGACGUUCGUCGCGUCGGUCGCGUUUCGGCGUGACCGUUCGCGCCGAGCCCCGGUGCUCAUGGUCGGCUCGCCCGACGGCAAGAACCGUCGACGCGGCCCCGUCGCAGGCGGGGUCCCGUCGGUCGGCGACGUGUUUCGAGCUACUUUCCGACCCGUCUUGAAACACGGACCAAGGAGUCUAACGUGUGCGCGAGUCAACGGUGAUCUUACGAAAAACCACGUUUGGCGCAAUGAAAGUGAACCGUUUACGGUGCGGACGAUGGCCUAGCGACCGAACCCACCGGCGUUCAAAGUCGCGCUGGUCCGCAGUCCGGGGGCGUCUCCGCCAAGUCGGCUUCGGCCGGCUGGGGGCGCACCCUUAGCGCACACGUUGGUACCCGAAAGAUGGUGAACUAUGCCUGGCCAGGAUGAAGUCAGGGGAAACCCUGAUGGAGGUCCGCAGCGAUUCUGACGUGCAAAUCGAUCGUCUGAGCUGGGUAUAGGGGCGAAAGACUAAUCGAACCAUCUAGUAGCUGGUUCCAUCCGAAGUUUCCCUCAGGAUAGCUGGCGCCGAUGUGUCCCGCCCGUUCGCGGGCGUACGGACGCCGGUGGGACUCCGCGCUGUACGGCGCGGUAACAACACGCUCGUAACACGGAGGAUGUCUCAUACGGUAAAGCGAAUGAUUAGAGGACAUUGGGGCCGAAACGACCUCAACCUAUUCUCAAACUAUAAAUGAGUGAGAUCGCCGGCUUUACCUGGUACACCGCGUGAACCGCGUGCGAAGCCGGCGACGGAACCCUAGGCGCUUAGUGGGCCAUUUUUGGUAAGCAGAACUGGCGCUGCGGGAUGAACCGAACGCCGAGUUAAGGCGCCGAAAUCGACGCGUAUUCAGAGACCAUGAAAGGCGUUGGUUGCUGAUGACAGCAGGACGGUGGCCAUGGAAGUCGGAAUCCGCUAAGGAGUGUGUAACAACUCACCUGCCGAAGCAACUAGCUCUGAAAAUGGAUGGCGCUGGAGCGUCGUGCCUAUACUCGGCCGUCGACGGCAUAGUGGGGCCAGUCGUCGCUCGCGGCGGCCGGUCCCGGCAAGCCUCGACGAGUAGGAUGGCGCGGCGGUGUGCGUCGAAGGGCAGGUCGCGAGACCGCCUGGAGCCGCCGUCGGUGCAGAUCUUGGUGGUAGUAGCAAAUACUCGAGAGGGGCCCUCGGGGGCUGCCGUGGAGAAGGGUUUCUUGUGAACAGCCGUUGUCCAAGAGUCAGU
rfam:Acyrthosiphon pisum strain LSR1 Contig5875, whole genome shotgun sequence.